AUCUGAAGAGAGGAAAAAGAGAGGUGAUGAUGAUGAUUAUAAUUAUAAUAAUAUAUAAUUAUGCCAAAAAUUGUAUGAUCGGUUCCAUUUUUGGCGGAAAAUUGAAGACCUUACAGUGACAAAAAGUUGCUCCAAGGCAGGACAAAGUUUCAGGAAGGAGAUCAAGGCGUCACUGUUAUAUCUUUCAGUAGGUCAGAACUUUGGAACUGUACUAAAAUAUGCAGAAACUACAAGACCAUACCUCAAAAGUCCAUCUGCAUAGUGUAAGAGUUUCGGCGUUUUUUAUGGUUAAUAGAGUUGCGUCGAAAUCACCACUGUUAAAGCUGAUAUCGCCGGGGCCUUGUCUGAAAUCUAGCAUGGCAUGUUUCAGGUUAAAGUGAUCUUCGGGCCACAGCCAAGGGAGCAGACCUCGAUACUUGAAAGACCUGAGUUUCGAGGAUCUCAUAUGGAGAGAUUUCAAUUGCGGACAAUCAAGGAUGGUCAAGCUCGAAAGCUUUGAACCGGCGUCAAUUUCCAAAGCUUCUAAUCCGUCGCAUUCAAUGAUUUUCAAGUUUUCAAGAAACUGAAAAUUCGAUACCAUAGAAGACACAGCCUCACUGGUAAGAGAGCUCACCGAUUUUAGAUGAAGCGUUUUGACGAAGGUGGCGGCCGUAGAAGAACUUGGCUGGUAGGUAAGGUUUUGGCGAUUCAGCUCCAACUGCCAACCAAACUGCUUUGAAAACCCUUGCUUCCCAGCAGAGAAAUCCAUAUAAAGUUUAUUAUUAGCUGCGAUGGUAGCCAAGAGAACGCCAUCUUUGCAGAAGUGAUAUCGAAGUUUCCGGGGUUGCCUCAAGGGAUCGCGCUCAUCAAAUUGAGUUAGGAAUCCAGAAAUUGCGGUGGCAGCCGCUUCUAUUGUUCCUCGUUGCACUAAAGCUGUGUUCCAAAGGUCUCUCCAUCGAGUAGAAAGGAAGCUGGUCUCCAGAGCAGAUUCACAAGGCAGAAACGCAAUGACGCGGCCAAGGAUCUCAUCCGGCUGGGACUGAAGCAGCCAAUGGGAUGAGAUAGCUUGGAUCCAAGUGGAGGUUCAAAGUUGGGAGUCAUGUGUGAUCCUUGCGGAUAGCGAACUGUCGUCUUCAUAGUUGAUGACAUGAACCAACGGUCAACUUCACAGUUCAUCAGCGGCAAUAUUUUGUGUCACAAGCUGUAUAUACAGCCAAUAUAUAUAAUAUUUGUUGAGUUUACUGCACUCCCUAUAUAUAUAUAUAUAUAUAUAUCAAGAGCUGAAGAUUUUUGUUUUUCCUUCACACUUGGGCAUGCAAGAUCUGAUUUCAUUGACUUCUAGCUGGCUUGCCAGAUUUGUAAAUGAAUUGCAAUGGAUUUUGGGAAGAUUUCUGCUGUGAAAUUAAAGACAA